GGUGGAAGAGGUUGCAUUAAAGGCAAGUUUGGCCCUUGGGGACAGAGGGCGUGGAGAUUCCGGAGACAUCUGGAGGGUGAAGGGCCAGGCACAGAUGAGCACAAGACCCUGCAAAA